CAGUAUCCACGGAAGAUGUGAAGAAGCUGCUUACCGAAGCCUUGUCUACCAACAACGACAUCUCCAUUGUUUCCGCUCUGUUCGAUGAUGAUAUAAAGUACGAAACGAAUAUUCUACAAUCUGCACUGGCUCUUUGGGAUAGUCUAGUCAAGAAGGGGGUGCAACUACAAGGU